rnacentral:rRNA from 1 species
UACGGAGGAUCCAAGCGUUAUCCGGAUUAUUGGGUUUAAAGGGUGCGUAGGCGGCCUAUUAAGUCAGGGGUGAAAGACGGUAGCUUAACUAUCGCAGUGCCUUUGAUACUGAUGGGCUUGAAUGUACUUGAGGUAGGCGGAAUGUGACAAGUAGCGGUGAAAUGCAUAGAUAUGUCACAGAACACCAAUUGCGAAGGCAGCUUCUAAAGUAUGAUGACGCUGAGGCACGAAAGCGUGGGGAUCAAACAGG